CCUGGCUGGUUCCUUGCACGCAGCGGGCCCUGAAUUGGCCGCGGGCGUCUCUGGGUUUGGGCAGCGUCUGCUUCGCCCAGGGCCCACCAGUAGGCCCGGAGCCUUUCGGACGCCCAACCCGGGGGAUCUGCGGCUGAGGGCCCCGGGCCGUUCCUCGCUCUGCGUUCCGGUGCGGUUUCUUUCGUAGAAGCUUUGUCGCUUUGUGUACGUCCGUCAGAAAUAGGUUCGGUGCAGUUUAACCCGAGGAGUGCUGAAAAGGCCGUUGCCCGCGUUCAGACAGGCUUUUCUUCUGUAGAGCCUUUUCAUAAGCUGCUGUUCACCUGGGGAAGUGGGGGCGGUCCUUGCCUAGGAGGCUGUUUUGCUCUUUAAUUGCGCUGCGUGGCCUCAAAAUCUUUCUAGAUGAAUAGAUUCUUCAGUCACUUUUCCUUCAGAAAUGUAUUUCUGGGCUGUAGGCCAGCUCUGGUGAUUCUGAAGAACCCACCUUCCCCUUGUGUGCUAUGUGGCCUUGUUGCUUUGUGCCUUGUUUUGUUCUGGAAAUGCUACUAGAGAUAACAGUUGUGAAAUACAACUGUAAAGCAAUUUUAGUUGCAGCUGUGGAUUGAAAGACAAACACUCUGUAGAGAAUGAGUUUAGUUCUAGCACUUCUGAUGGCGGUUCAUAUGUAGUCAGAAAUCUGACAUAAAGUUCAAGAAAGCACAGCAACAUUUUGGUUGAUUCUAUUGGUUGAAGGUUUCAGCUGUGAUUCUUAUUUUUGUGUAAAUAAGCUUGAGGUGGUGAGAAACUCCAGGUGUACUCAGGUGAACUGGAAAGCAGCUCUGAGUCAUGAAUUUAGUGGCAGAAGCUUUCUGUAAUUCUGACAUUCUUCUCAAGGAUGCGGGCGUUUUGUGAACAAAACCAGGUCCCAGGAGUUGCAGCUGUGGCUGUAACAUGCCAGAGGCCUGUGGUGUCAUAAAAUGGACACACAAAGAUCUUUAUUUUUUAAAAUGUGUCAGCAUGAAAGUGGAAUAGCUAAUAAGUAAGCAAAUGUUGAUAAAAACUUGCUAAGAAAACUGUUGUAAUUGAUCAAAAGAAAUUCAGUUUCUGGUUUGUUGUCAGAGGUAGUCCUGGAAUAUUCUUCUAGCAGUUGUGACCUGUGGCUAAUAAAUUUCAUGAGCUGGAGCCUCUCUUGGUGGUUUUUUUUUUGUGUGACUCUAUCCAGAUGAUUUAUGGAGUUGGGCAAGGUCACAGUAUUCAUGGUAUUUGACUGAAGGGUGAGUAUUAGUGUAUCCAGGUGCUGUCAGAAGUAGAAACUUUUGUGUGCUUAAACUCUCUACUUCAUAAUUUAGUUUGAUUGCUAUUAAGACUUACUGCAGAAUGUGAAGAUAAUAAAGUUUCUGUGAUAGGGGAAACCAAGUUUUGUAGCUUCUGUGUCUGUUUUGUAAAGUGAGUGGUUUGUACCUCCUGUCAUCCUUUCCUGUACCUCGUGUCAUUCUCCUUUGUUGUUUAUGAUAAGUAGAGGCCUGCACUAUCCACAGUAUUCAGCAUGUCCCUGCUUGAGCAGGUUUGGCCAGAUGACCCCCAGAGGUUCCUUCUAACCUAAACCGUUUUGUGAUUCUCUGAUGUAGGAUGAAUAUAGAUUAAUUGAAGUAUAUAUUUUUGCCUCCUAUGUUCUUUAUUACUUGUCAGAUAUUUCCAAACAUUCCAUCUGGCUUUUGAGCAGUGAUCUGAUCACUCCAGUCACUCCAGAAUGUGGAGACAAAGCAGCGAGAGUCGGCAGAAGAGAGGAAAUAUGGCAACAGGUGAACCUCAAAUAACUAAAUAUUAGUGCAUGCUAAUCCAGAGCACAGUGUUUGGAGUCACUAUGGCAUACAACCAAGAGCAUUUGUGGCUGUCCAAUGAGAACCUGAUUGUGAAGCUUCAGGCUUGCUGUUGAGGCUGUCUUGUUUGUCAGGAAUUUGUCUCCAGAGUGAGUUUUUUGAAGAAGGAAGUUCCAGCAGUCAGGCACAUCCAGGAUGUCAUUUCUCACAGCAAAAAGCUUUCUAAGGAGAACAAGAAGCAGCUCUGACAUGAUGACGCUGAACAAGCAAAAGGGAGACUUGAAAGCUUUGAGCAAAGAGAAGGGGGGGGGAAGAAAGCUGGAAGCCUGUCAACAUCUUUUCUACUUCCUUCAGACUAGCCCAGGAUAGUUAGCAAGCUGAAUUUUUCAGAUGCCUAAAAGCAAAUGCACAAAGCUCAUGGAUUUGGUCAUCUUCAUGCUGUGUAACUGUGUGUCCAGACGAAGAGAGGAAUAUCUGCUGUGUCAGCUUUCCCAAACAGCGCUCCUGGAGGAGAUCAGAUCUGAGCUGUGCUCUGGAACAGAAUGUACAGCUGGAUCUAGAACAGUUGCCAAAGAGGAGUCUGUGGACAAACGGUGCUGCAUUUCCCAGAGGGAGGUCAUCGAGUUCCUUGCCUUCUCGCAAAGUGUUCUUGUAUUUUUCUUAAAUAGCAUUGCAUGUUACUGCUGUACCAAGACUUUUAUGACAACUCCAUUAUCUGUAUCCCAAAGAUGAUGCUGAGAAACAUGUCUCAUGCAUACCUCACGUUUUGUAUUAAUUCUUCCUUUGGGUCAAAAGCAGACCAAAUCCUUGAAAUGAGGCUGAAAUAAAACUGAAUAACUGUCUCACUGUUAUUAAAAUAGUUUGGCUGUGGUUCCUGUGGUCAGAAUGCCCUGUGGCAGCUCCUGGCACCACUUGUGAAUGAAAGAAUUGAUGACAAAUUGCUUGAUAUCACGACCGAUCUGGUGGAUAUUUACAAGCCUUGGGGGAUCCAGACAGGAUCUCAGAGUGAUGAGGCCAGGUCUGGAAGCUGCUACUACAGUGUUUCUUCUAAGAGUUGCUCGGCUCUUUUUGCAUUGCUCUUGUGAGAGGUAGAUUGUGGUUUUGUAGUAGAAGCUUCCAGUAUUUUCUGUAUGUAGUAUAGGUCUACACUGAACUUACAACCCUUUUGUGAAAUAGCAGUUUUCCUUCCGCUAAGUAAGUUGCUAAACAGAGUAAAAAGUUAAGAUUUGGGGCAUUCUGAUGGGGGUAGAACUGAGCCAGGCACAAAAUAAGGCAAAUAUGCAGGGUGGAGAGAGCAGGACAGAACAAACGUGCUCAUUCUUGGAAUUGUUGCCCUCCAUGGAAGAGUACAAAACAUACCCAAGAAACAACAGGUUGGUAAUGGACCUUAUGUGGAAAUGAGUCACAGCAGCAGCGUUGGAGAGCUUGUGAACCUGAGAUGCGAGCGCCAGGAGAGCAUUGCCUGCGUUGGGUUCAAGUGUAUAGAACAGAAUGAAUUUUGAAGACUGGUGUGCAAUUACUCCCUUGCUAACGGGGGUGUGCGCCCGUUACUGCAAUAAUAAAUGAACUUUGUUACUAUCAGUAAGAUCCUUGUCUAACCUGAAAUUUUUGACUUGCAGUGUUUCUCACAAACGUGUAACCGAAAUCAGAUUUGGUUAAUUGUUCCAAGCCAUCCUGGGCUUGGCUGCACACAUCUGUCUGAUUGAUACCAGUUUUUUUUUUUUUUAUUGCCUCAGGCUCUGGCUGGAAAAAAGCCGAAUAAUAAAAAGCAUGACAACAUCAA